GACAGUUUGGCCGAGUGGUCUAAGGCGCCAGAUUUAGGCUCUGGUCCGCACGGGCGUGGGUUCAAAUCCCACAGCUGUCA
rnacentral:tRNA from 1 species